rnacentral:rRNA from 1 species
UACGUAGGGGGCUAGCGUUGUCCGGAAUCAUUGGGCGUAAAGCGCGUGUAGGCGGUCCGGUAAGUCCGCUGUGAAAGUCGGGGGCUCAACCCUCGAAUGCCGGUGGAUACUGUCGGGCUAGAGUGCGGAAGAGGCGAGUGGAAUUCCGUGGUGUAGCGGUGAAAUGACGCAGAUAUCAGGAAGAACACCCGUGGCGAAAGCGGCUCUCUGGAACGGUACUGACGCUGAGACGCGAAAGCGUGGGGAGCAAACAGG